rnacentral:rRNA from 1 species
CUGCUGCCUCCCGUAGGAGUUUGGGCCGUGUCUCAGUCCCAAUGUGGCCGAUCAACCUCUCAAUUCGGCUACGCAUCAUUGCCUUGGUAAGCCUUUACCCUACCAACUAGCUAAUGCGCCGCGGGCCCAUCCAAAAGCGGUAGUAUAGCCACCUUUUACAUAGUUACCAUGCGGUAACUAUGGUUAUGCGGUAUUAGCACCUGUUUCCAAGUGUUAUCCCCCUCUUUUGGGCAGGUUGCCCACGUGUUACUCACCCGUUCGCCACU